UAGGGAAUCUUCGGCAAUGGGGGGAACCCUGACCGAGCAACGCCGCGUGAGUGAAGAAGGUUUUCGGAUCGUAAAGCUCUGUUGUUAAGGAAGAACGAGUGUGAGAAUGGAAAGUUCAUACUGUGACGGUACUUAACCAGAAAGGGACGGCUAACUACGUGCCAGCAGCCGCGGUAAUACGUAGGUCCCGAGCGUUGUCCGGAUUUAUUGGGCGUAAAGCGAGCGCAGGCGGUUAGAUAAGUCUGAAGUUAAAGGCAGUGGCUCAACCAUUGUAGUCCUUGGAAACUGUUUAAUUUGAGUGCAGAAGGGGAGAGUGGAAUUCCAUGUGUAGCGGUGAAAUUCUUAGAUAUAUGGAGGAACCCCGGUGGCGAAAGCGGCUCUCUGGUCUGUAACUUACGCUGAGGCUCGAAAGCGUGGGGGGCGAACAGG
rnacentral:rRNA from 1 species